ACUUUAAGUGAGGAAGAAAAGAUUUAAAUUAAUAUUUUAAGUCCCUGACAUUACUCACAGAAUAAGGACCGGCUAACUCCGUGCCAGCAGCCGCGGUAAUACGGAGGGUCCAAGCGUUAAUCGGAAUUACUGGGCGUAAAGCGCGCGUAGAUGGUUUAUUCAGUUGGGUGUGAAAUCCCUGGGCUCAACCUAGGAACUGCAUUCAAAACUUAUAAACUAGAGUACGAAAGAGGAGAGUAGAAUUCAUGGUGUAGCGGUGAAAUGCGUAGAGAUCAUGAGGAAUACCAGUGGCGAAGGCGACUCUCUGGUUCGAGACUGACAUUGAGGUGCGAAAGCGUGGGUAGCAAACAGGAUU
rnacentral:rRNA from 1 species